CGGUGGUCGCCCACCGUUGGAGGCUCCGCUGGGCUGGUCGCAGGUCACUACCGCGCCAGACCGCGGGCUCUCAAACAUUUGUCUUUGAAAUUUAGGUUUCCCUUAACAUAGGCCGGUCUGCAUGCACACGAGUGCAUUUUCCCAAACACCUUCACGUGGGCACAGUUUCACGGACACUGGGGCACCCAAAACCACACAUUCACAGUUUUAAAGUAAUUGGCCAGGGGUUUCUUUUGCACGCGUUUCGGCACUUUUGCCAAUUGCCCAGUUUUACGGACACUGGGACACCCAAAAGCACACGGGAACAGUUGGAAAAUCAUUGGUCAAGGUUUUGUUGUUUCCGGUUUACACACUGUACGGGAAAAUUCCCAGUUUUCAAGGAACUUAUACGUGCCAGUGAGAGGCAUGCGGGAGUGAGCACACACGAGGUUCUCAAGGCCCACAGGGCCCAGAGUACACAUUUCGGAGCUACAAGGAGCAGAGAGAUCGCACAGAAAAGAGGUUAUAUUUUUUUGGGUGAUCGCAUCUACGAAGGUCGGAAGAGAGAGAGGCGGCCCACGCAGCGCUCGUGAGCUCUCGGUCACGAUUGUUCGGCCGCAAAUGAAUCCCCCAUAAAUUAAGCUAGCAGAGCAUAAAAGAGGACAGUCGACCCAGAGUCGUGGAGCAGUGCACAUCGUUCCUAAUCAUAAACAUUCUGACCAAGUGAAAACAAAAGGAUUUACCAGGGAUACUACGGGUAUACAACAAGGACAUCGCACAGGAUACUAGAACCAAGGACAUCGCACAGGAUAACACUACGAUACAACAAGGAUACUAGGAACAAGGACAGCGCACAGGAUACCAAGGAUACUAGGAACAAGGCCAUCGAACAGGAUUGGACUAGGAAUACACCAAGGCUAGAAGCGACAAGGGCAGCGCACGGGAUAAAACCGAGGAUACACCAAGGAUACAUUGCACAGGCAUAGCACAGGACACAGCUGGUAUACAACAAGGACACAAGCGACACCGGAAUCAAGGCACAGGACCCAGGACACGGGAGCAGACUCCACAUAGUAGCAUGGUAGGAGUAGGAUGGAUCUCGUACCGGCGCAAGGCGGAACUGGAGGCAUUCGCCAAGGAAUUCAGACUCGAACGGGAAGGCCCCGUGGAGGAACUCCGAGGCCGCAUGUCUGCCUUUGUGAACCGUGGGGGACACUCGGCUUCCAUCCAGGCCCGCCUAGAGGAACUUGAAGACACCUUUGGACGAGCACGGACUCCAGACACCAAGCCAGAAACACAGCAGCGAUCUCGGAGCCUCUCGCCUACUACGAGUGGAAAUGGACCCCAAGCGAAGGAAAUUCCCCAAGAAGAACCAACCAGACCGGGGAUGCAUUAC
rnacentral:lncRNA from 1 species